CGUAAAUUAGUUUAUAAUAAAACCCCUUUUUGUCAAGAAGGCGAAGCAUCCAUUGGUUUAAAG
rnacentral:tRNA from 1 species